rnacentral:rRNA from 1 species
GAAUAAGGGGAGGGCAAGUCUGGUGUCAGCCGCCGCGGUAAUACCAGCUCCUCGAGUGGUCGGGACGAUUAUUGGGCCUAAAGCACCCGUAGCCGGUUCCGUAAGUCCUCUGUUAAAUCCAGUCGCUCAACGGCUGGCCUGCAGAGGAUACUGCGGGACUAGGAGGCGGGAGAGGCGGACGGUACUCCGCGUGUAGGGGUAAAAUCCUUUGAUCCGCGGAAGACCACCAGUGGCGAAGGCGGUCCGCCAGAACACGUUCGACAGUGAGGGAUGAAAGCUGGGGGAGCAAACCGGAUUAGAUACCCGGGUAGUCCCAGCUGUAAACGAUGCAGACUCGGUGAAGCGUUGGUUUAUGGCCAAUGCUGUGCCGCAGGGAAGCCGUUAAGUCUGCCGCCUGGGAAGUACGGUCGCAAGAUUGAAACUUAA